CCUACGGGAGGCAGCAGUAGGGAAUAUUGCACAAUGGAGGAAACUCUGAUGCAGCGAUGCCGCGUGAGUGAAGAAGGCCUUUGGGUUGUAAAGCUCUUUCGUCGGGGAAGAAAAUGACUGUACCCGAAUAAGAAGGUCCGGCUAACUUCGUGCCAGCAGCCGCGGUAAUACGAAGGGACCUAGCGUAGCUCGGAAUUACUGGGCUUAAAGAGUUCGUAGGUGGUUAAAAAAGUUGGUGGUGAAAUCCCAGAGCUUAACUCUGGAACUGCCAUCAAAACUUUUUGGCUAGAGUAUGAUAGAGGAAAGCAGAAUUUCUAGUGUAGAGGUGAAAUUCGUAGAUAUUAGAAAGAAUACCAAUUGCGAAGGCAGCUUUCUGGAUCAUUACUGACACUGAGGAACGAAAGCAUGGGUAGCGAAGAGGAUUAGAUACCCUCGUAGUCCAUGCCGUAAACGAUGUGUGUUAGACGUUGGAAAUUUAUUUUCAGUGUCGCAGCGAAAGCAUUAAACACACCGCCUGGGGAGUACGACCGCAAGGUUAAAACUCAAAUGAAUUGACG
rnacentral:rRNA from 1 species